rnacentral:rRNA from 1 species
AGAUCUUCGGAUCUUUGAGAGCGAGCGCACGGGUGCGGAACACGUGUGCAACCUACCUUUAUCAGGGGGAAGCCUUUCGAAAGGAAGAUUAAUACCCCAUAAUAUAAUGAACGGCAUCGUUCGUUAUUGAAAACUCCGGUGGAUAGAGAUGGGCACGCGCAAGAUUAGAUAGUUGGUGAGGUAACGGCUCACCAAGUCAAUGAUCUUUAGGGGGCCUGAGAGGGUGAUCCCCCACACUGGUACUGAGACACGGACCAGAACUCCUACGGGAGGCAGCAGUAGGAAUAUUGGACAAUGGAGUGAGAGCCUGAUCCAGCCAUCCCGCGUGAAGGACGACGGCCCUAUGGGUUUAAACUUCUUUUGUAUAGGGAUAAACCUUUCCACGUGUGGAAUAGCUGAAGGUACUAUACGAAUAAGCACCGGCUAACUCCGUGCCAGCAAGCCGCGGUAAUACGGAGGGUGCAAGCGUUAUCCGGAUUUAUUGGGUUUAAAGGGUCCGUAGGCGGACUCGUAAGUCAGUGGUGAAAUCUCAUAGCUUAACUAUGAAACUGCCAUUGAUACUGCGGGUCUUGAGUAAGGUAGAGGUAGCUGGAAUAAGUAGUGUAGCGGUGAAAUGCAUAGAUAUUACUUAAACACCAAUUGCGAAGGCAGGUUACCAUGUCUUAACUGACGCUGAUGGACGAA